CCCCUAGACGUUCUGGGCUGCACGCGCGCUACAAUAAUACGGACAGCGAGUAUCACCGAGCUCGAAAGGGCAAGGUAAACAAUAGAAAAGGUACUGUAAUGGUUAUAGAUCCUUGUAAUUAUUGAUCUUCAACGAGGAAUUCCUAGUAAGUAUGUGUCAUCAUCACGCACUGAUUACGUCCCUGCCCUUUGUACACACCGCCCGUCGCUCCUACCGAUUGGGUGAGCCGAUGAAACUCUCGGAUGUAGGCUAUUCAUAGCCCGCAGAAGAGAUUUGAAUCGUAGCGCUUAGAGGAAGGAGAAGUCGUAACA
rnacentral:rRNA from 1 species